CUACUACCUGCAUCCUGAAUGUAAAGAAAUCUUUCAUACUGUUAAUUAUUUACUAUCUUAAUCUUUCCUUUCCUUUCUCGACAUCCUGAAUAUUGUUAAUCUAAAGGGGAAAUAGGUGUCUAAGAGCUAUAAUCAGAGUCUGAUCCCCCAAGGCCAGAUUCUGAUCCCCAAGGCCAUGUUUCUCUCAUUUUAGCAUUCUGUUCCAUCCUUAUUAGACCUUAAAUCUUCCCUGUAAUCAAUAUUUUAAAAGAAUAGAGAAAAAGAAUCACAAGGAAAAUAUUUAUAUGGUGAUACUUUCUACACAUGAACACAUCCAUCACUUUGUUCUCUAUGAAAUUUUGUUGCUUAUAUAAGUUUCAUUGAUGUAAAUUUACUAUCUAAGUAUCUACUUCUUCAGCCUAUCCAUUACGUCACAAGUCUUGCUGCUGUUGAGCUACUUCGUGCCCGCGAGGGAGGUGAGCAGAUUAUCGAUUUUGUUGAUGUUGCAUGUGGUUUGAGCCUAGGAGAAUAUACUGCUCUAGCAUUUGCUGGGGCUUUCAGGUGUGUUGUAAUGUGAGUAUUACUUUAUCUUUUUGAACUUUCAUGAUUAAUGAAAAAUGAAUCAAUUUGAAAAGUGUUUGAAGAGUGGGGCUACAACUAUUAUUUCUGGAAGAUCAACAGUUGAGGAAUUAGCAGGAAUCCUUCCAUAAGCAGCUUCCCAAAUGGUUCAAAUUCUCCAUUCAACUUCUGGACCAUGUGCACAAAGCAUUGAUGCAGUGCCUUGGGCAGUUGCGUCAAUAUAAGCCUGAGCAGCAGGAACCUUAAUAUGCUUACUGUAUAUUAUCAUUAUUGACUGCAAAUUAACAUAUCCAAGUGGUACUGUUAUCCAGUGCUUUGAAUUAUGUACAAGGAAGUUAAGCUGUGAAUAUGACUGCCUUGGAAUUAGUUAAAUGUUUGGAUUAGAAGUGAUGAAGAAAACAUUAGCAAGGAUACAUAAAUUCAGGGACGGGGAAUCGGAGCCUUAGCUUGCAGCAUUAAUUACCAGGUUCUCAAAUAUGGGAUUCUGGUAAUAUUUUCAUCAUGUUUUCAACUAUAGAGCAAGUAUAUGGAUCGAGUUGGUAGACAAGGUGAAUCUGGAGAUCCAACAGUAUGAGCGGGAGUAUGAUCUAAACAGCAUCACUGAAUUAAAAUAUAGCAGCCUAAACUCCUUGCAAAUACAACAUGAGAGUGCAGAGAAGGAGUUAGAUGAAUACAUGAACUAUGGUAAGUCUAAAGCUGAGAGAGGAAACUACAAGAAAUGAUAUUGCUGAAGUUGUAAACAAGUGGACCGACAUUCAUGUUUCUAAACUUCAAGAAUCAGAUAAUCUUUGUUGAAAUUAUUUUAGCAAAGUAUAAAAACAGGAAUGGUAAAAGAUAUCUAUACAACUUUAUAAGAGUUUUUUUAUUUAAGGUGUAUGACUAUCUUAGAUAGAUCGAUAGACUUUGAAUUAUGUUCUGUGUUGAUAUCUCUUUAUAUUAAUCUUGAAUACAGACUUCUUUUUUA